UACGUAGGAGGCAAGCGUUGUCCGGAAUCACUGGGCGUAAAGCGCGUGUAGGUGGAGCAGGAAGUCUGCUGUGAAAGCGCCUGGCUUAACCGGGCGAGGUCGGUGGAAACUCCUGUCUGAGAGGCCGGGUAGAGGGGGUGGAAUUCCGGGUGUAGUGGUGAAAUGCGUAGAGAUCCGGAGGAACACCCGUGGCGAAGGCGGCCCCCUGGGCCGCGCCCUGACGCUGAGACGCGAAAGCGCGGGGAGCGAAACGGG
rnacentral:rRNA from 1 species